AAAGUCGUAACAAGGUUUUCGUAGGUGAACCUGCGGAAGGAUCAUUAGUGAAACAUCAGAGUGCUCUUUAUUGAGGCUCGUUUUAACUAUCCAAUACACUUUGUGCAUUUGAAACUUAUACACACAUUUCGAUGUGUUGUACAUUUACACCCCAUUGCUUUAUAUGAGAUGAUGAUGUUAUAACAAUGAAAUAUGAAAGAACAACUUUCAGCAACGGAUUUCUUGGCUCUC
rnacentral:misc_RNA from 1 species